ensembl:snRNA U6 U6 spliceosomal RNA
GUGCUCACUUCAGCAGCACUGGUACUAAAAUUGGAGGAUACAGACACAAUUAGCAUGGCCCCCGCACAAGGGUGACAUGCAAGUUCAUGCCAAGUUCCAUAUUUUU